GGCCCGUUGGUCAAGUGGUUAAGACACCGCCCUUUCACGGCGGUAACACGGGUUCGAGUCCCGUAGGAGUCACCA
rnacentral:tRNA from 1 species